AUGGACGCAAGUCUGAUGGAGCAACGCCGCGUGAGUGAAGAAGGGUUUCGGCUCGUAAAGCUCUGUUGGUAGUGAAGAAAGAUAGAGGUAGUAACUGGCCUUUAUUUGACGGUAAUUACUUAGAAAGUCACGGCUAACUACGUGCCAGCAGCCGCGGUAAUACGUAGGUGGCAAGCGUUGUCCGGAUUUAUUGGGCGUAAAGCGAGUGCAGGCGGUUCAAUAAGUCUGAUGUGAAAGCCUUCGGCUCAACCGGAGAAUUGCAUCAGAAACUGUUGAACUUGAGUGCAGAAGAGGAGAGUGGAACUCCAUGUGUAGCGGUGGAAUGCGUAGAUAUAUGGAAGAACACCAGUGGCGAAGGCGGCUCUCUGGUCUGCAACUGACGCUGAGGCUCGAAAGCAUGGGUAGCGAACAGGAUUAGAUACCCUGGUAGUCCAUGCCGUAAACGAUGAGUGCUAAGUGUUGGGAGGUUUCCGCCUCUCAGUGCUGCAGCUAACGCAUUAAGCACUCCGCCUGGGGAGUACGACCGCAAGGUUGAAACUCAAAGGAAUUGACGGGGGCCCGCACAAGCGGUGGAGCAUGUGGUUUAAUUCGAAGCCACGCGAAGAACCUACCAGGUCUGACAU
rnacentral:rRNA from 1 species